rfam:Populus trichocarpa scaffold_19_contig_388, whole genome shotgun sequence.
AGGACCCAUGUCUCUUGGGUCCUGUGUCAGGACCCAACGCUUUUAGGUCCUGCGGCAGUACCCAUUUCUUUUGGGUCCUCACGCAGGACCCAUGCGAAAUAGGUCCU